rnacentral:rRNA from 1 species
AAUAUUGGACAAUGGGCGAAAGCCUGAUCCAGCCAUGCCGCGUGAGUGAUGAAGGCCCUCGGGUUGUAAAGCUCUUUUGUGCGGGAAGAUAAUGACGGUACCGCAAGAAUAAGCCCCGGCUAACUUCGUGCCAGCAGCCGCGGUAAUACGAAGGGGGCUAGCGUUGCUCGGCAUCACUGGGCGUAAAGGGCGCGUAGGCGGGUUUCUAAGUCAGAGGUGAAAGCCUGGAGCUCAACUCCAGAACUGCCUUUGAUACUGGAAGUCUUGAGUUCGGGAGAGGUGAGGGGAACUGCGAGUGUAGAGGUGAAAUUCGUAGAUAUUCUCAAGAACACCAGUGGCGAAGGCGGCUCACGGGCCCGAUACUGACGCUGAGGCACGAAA